GGCCGAGGGGAGCGGACGCGUGGGAUCCGUUUCCUCCCAGUCCAGCUCCCCCCCAGCGCUCGGGCUCCGGCGCCCCCACCCGGGACCAGUGCCCUUUACAUUAAAGUCCUUCUAUGGGCUAGGGACGUGAUGUGGUGGGGAAAGGCCUCAGAAAAGGUGUGAUGGUGGCAACUGGACCAUGGCCCUGCCUGGCAAUUAGUGCCCCAGGAUGGCUCUGACCAGCUUCUUCCCUCUUCUCCCCCCUCCUCCCUCCACCCCCCCCAGGAUCCUGUGCCCCCCCACACACUCCUGGCCGAGCCACAGCAGUUCUUCAGUGGCGAGCUUUAUGUCUUGUCCCAGCUAAAGCUGCCAGUUGAAGAACUGCUGAGCUCUGCUCCUGUCUUCGAGGACUGAGGAAGAGCCGCCGCCCUGCCAUCUAGAAGGUGGCCCCCGAAGUCUGGAAUUCUCACUCGACUCUGCCUCGUAGAAUCAAUCCCUAGCUCCUUUCAGAGAACCGCUCAGGUCCCCCUCCUGCCUGUCUGGCUCAGGGUUAGUGGCUAGAUUCUAGCAAUGGGCCUGCAUUCACAUCCCACCUAAGACACUCACUGCUUCAUCCUAGACAAGUUAGCUUCACCCCUCCCCUGUGAAAAGAAGGGCUCACACUCAGCUAGCUGAGGUUUCCCAUCUGGUGGCCCUCUCUGGAAUUAGACAGUUUUGUAUUUAUUUUUGUAUGGGUUAUCUUCUCUUCCUCAAUGUCCUCUAGAGUGUAAGCUCAUUGAGGGCAGGGACUGCUUCCUGUUUGUCUUUGUAUCCAUAGCACUGUAGGUGCUUGAUUAA